GACAGAGGGGGCAAGCGUUGCUCGGAAUUACUGGGCGUAAAGGGCGCGUAGGCGGGAUGGCAAGUCGGUCGUGAAAUCCCUCGGCUCAACCGAGGAACGUCGAUCGAUACUGCUGUUCUUGAGGAUUGCAGAGGAGACUGGAAUUCCCGGUGUAGCGGUGAAAUGUGUAGAGAUCCGGAGGAACACCAGAGGCGAAGGCGGCAACCUGGCUCGUAACUGACGCUCAUACACGACAGCAUGGGGAGCGAACGGG
rnacentral:rRNA from 1 species